rnacentral:rRNA from 1 species
UGAACGCUGGCGGUAUGCUUAACACAUGCAAGUCGAACGGUAACAGCAAGAGCUUGCUCUUGGCUGACGAGUGGCGGACGGGUGAGUAACGCGUGGGAAUCUGCCUAGUAGUUGGGGACAACCUGGUGAAAACCAGGCUAAUACCGAAUGUGGUCUACGGACUAAAGCAGGGGAUCUUCGGACCUUGCGCUACUAGAUGAGCCCGCGUUAGAUUAGCUAGUUGGUGAGGUAAUGGCUCACCAAGGCGACGAUCUAUAGCUGGUCUGAGAGGACGAUCAGCCACACUGGGACUGAGACACGGCCCAGACUCCUACGGGAGGCAGCAGUGGGGAAUAUUGGACAAUGGGCGCAAGCCUGAUCCAGCAAUACCGCGUGUGUGAAGAAGGCCUGAGGGUUGUAAAGCACUUUCAAUUGUGAAGAAAGGUUGUGGAUUAAUACUCUACAAUUUUGACGUUAACUUUAGAAGAAGCACCGGCUAACCCU